rnacentral:rRNA from 1 species
GACGAACGCUGGCGGCGUGCUUAACACAUGCAAGUCGAGCGGUAAGGCCCUUUCGGGGGUACACGAGCGGCGAACGGGUGAGUAACACGUGGGUGACCUGCCCUCAGCUCUGGGAUAAGCCUGGGAAACUGGGUCUAAUACUGGAUAUGACUCCACGGUGCAUGUCGUGGGGUGGAAAGCCUUGUGCGGCUGAGGAUGGGCCCGCGGCCUAUCAGCUUGUUGGUGGGGUGANGGCCUACCAAGGCGACGACGGGUAGCCGGCCUGAGAGGGCGACCGGCCACACUGGGACUGAGAUACGGCCCAGACUCCUACGGGAGGCAGCAGUGGGGAAUCUUGCGCAAUGGGCGAAAGCCUGACGCAGCGACGCCGCGUGAGGGAUGACGGCCUGGU